AUAUGCAGUAUUUGCUAAAUAAAUACUUAAAUAUCGAAAUAUUGGUUGAUGCGCCUCCAGAUCAGCCACAACUCGCUAGAAGGACCAACCAAUCAGAAUUUGCCACGACGCCAAUACAUGGUUGAUCAGGAGCGGCUACUUAUUGAGGCUGAAUUCGCAUAUUAUAAGCUUCCCACGGUUGGCCACAUCCUAGCCUGGGGUCUCAUCGAAAUUCUGCCGUUGUAACAAACAUGACGUCAUUCGCAUGCAAGACAUUCACACCGAUGUUCAGACCAUAUCCAAGCCAGUCAUUUCUGGAUGGCCCACGUGCCCUAAUUCUUUGGUGGUAGAUAAGCUCUUCCAUCCACACGAUCAACAAAAGAGGGGAGCUGAAGAGGUGAGUGCACACAAGACGCCCUAACAGAUUGCGAGAGAACCUCCUGUUCUUUGAGAACCUUCUUGACUUAGGCAUUGGAGGAUCCCCCAUCGAAUAAGCUUAGACCAGAGAAUUUCUUCGUUUGUGCUAUUUCAGGUCAAAGGGCGGCCACUCAAGAAGGACCUCGGUAGCGACUGCAUGCCACUCGUCCUCUCCGAUCUCGACAGGAACAACCAACAACCGAGUUCUCUAGCGUCAUCGCGCUUCUUAUUGUAGUGCCUAGGACGGGCCGGUUAUUAGUGGCAAUAGAUCGGUGCUAGAGGAACUGCGGGUACACCACUCCUUUUGCCCGAGGAGGAACUACUAUUGCCAAACUUCCUCUUUCUCGAGGAGCG
rnacentral:lncRNA from 1 species